rnacentral:rRNA from 1 species
UACGUAGGGGGCAAGCGUUGUCCGGAAUUAUUGGGCGUAAAGAGCUCGUAGGCGGUUCGUCGCGUCGGCUGUGAAAACCCGGAGCUCAACUCCGGGCCUGCAGUCGAUACGGGCGGACUUGAGUGUUGCAGGGGAGACUGGAAUUCCUGGUGUAGCGGUGAAAUGUGCAGAUAUCAGGAGGAACACCGGUGGCGAAGGCGGGUCUCUGGGCAACUACUGACGCUGAGGAGCGAAAGCGUGGGGAGCGAACAGG